CCUCGAGUCACCCCUGACAACGGUGGUGGGAGGGAGAGCGGCCUCCUCCUCCCUCGCGGGGCCUGUCUGGGUGAAGCCCCUCCAUUCCCGCCUGACUUCAGUGAAAGCUCAAGGUGCACUUGGCUGUUUCUACAGCUUCAGAGUUCCCAGCUCUGCCCAAGUUGGUGCCAGCGAGCUGUGACCUCAGGGCAGUCACUAACCUGCCCAGGCCAGUCUCCCUCCCCCAGCUACCCUAGUUCUCUGACCCUCCAGGACUGCCGCAGAGCAAAAUCUUCACUGUGCCUUCUCUUCACUCCCAGUGUUCUUUGCAUGGCCUCAGCAUUUAUUGGAGCCACUGUCUGAUUCAUUUUGGAUUCAUCUCGUGCACUGUGCAAUAUGCACUGGCUCUUCAGAGCCAGCACAAUGGAGGUGACCCUUCUCCCCGUGCACCUU
rnacentral:sRNA from 1 species